AUUUCCUUCGGGACUGAUUAUUUUGUGACUGAGUGGCGGACGGGUGAGUAACGCGUGGGUAACCUGCCUUGUACAGGGGGACAACAGUUGGAAACGACUGCUAAUACCGCAUGACACAUAGAGAUCGCAUGGUUUUUAUGUCAAAGAUUUAUCGCUGAUAGAUGGCCUUGCGUCUGAUUAGUUAGUUGGUGGGGUAACGGCCUACCAAGACGACGAUCAGUAGCCGGACUGAGAGGUUGAACGGCCACAUUGGGACUGAGAUACGGUCCAAACUCC
rnacentral:rRNA from 1 species